AGAGGACACAUGGUGAGCACAU
rnacentral:miRNA from 1 species